ACGAAACAUCGGAAUACAUUUCCAAACGCCGGGAUCGGAAGGAACAUGCCUGCCACCCGUUGCUCUAGUUUCAUCGACCAUAUGCGAAUUAAACAAAGUUGACCUCACUCAGGCACUCUCCUUUCUGCGCCGUCGACAGCAGCAACACAAGAAUGUCGACCUACCGGCCGCUCGAUUGCAUCUGUAGCGAUAUUCCUCUUUCCUCUCCGACAUGAUUUGAUAGCCCAAGCUUGGAAGGAGGCGCUCCACUAUUAGAUCCGUGAAAAACAUGUUCCACCCUUAACAUUUGGAGUGAAGCUCCGAAGGAGGCACUCCACUAUUAUCCCGUGAAGAAGAAUCCAGAGGUCUCUAGGGGGUGGGUGGGUCGGUCGGGUGUGUCCGGUCGGAUCAGAACUCCACCGGAAACGAACAAGGAGGUGACGAGAAGCGCAAGAAAUACACCGAGUAUCG